rnacentral:rRNA from 1 species
CAUGUCUCUAUGAAGUUAAAUAGAGUCUAUUCUGCCCGUUGAAUAAAUAAAUUUGAAAGGCCGCAGUACUCUGACUGUGCAAAGGUAGCAUAAUCAUUAGUUUCUUAAUUGGAGGCUCGUAUGAAUGAUUGGACAAGAAUCGAACUGUCUCUUCCGAUUAUACUUGAAUUUUAUUUUUAAGUGAAAAAGCUUAAAUGAUUAAGAAAGACGAUAAGACCCUAUAAAUCUUUAUGUAAAUCAGCUUUCAAACCUAAAUAUAGAUUUAAAUUGGUUUAAAGGAAGAAUUCAUUAUACUGGGGCGGUAAAGAUAUAAAAAAUAAACUGUCAAAAUAAAAAACAAAAAUAUUUGUUGCGUAAGAGAUCCUAGCUAUGGAUUAAAAGAUAAAGUUACUUUAGGGAUAACAGCAUAAUUUCUUUAGAGAGUUCAAAUCGAAAAAGAAGCUUGUGACCUCGAUGUUGAAUUAAGAGAUCCCCCAUGGUGCAGCAUUUAUGGGAGGGAGUCUGUUCGACUCUUAAAUUCUUACAUGGAUCUGAGAA